AGCAUACAACUCAAACAAAAUGAUAAAUUAACUACUUACUCAUGCAAAACAAAUAGUGAUUCAUCGAGACCACACUAAUAGUAUCUGCGUGAAAGGAAUCAUUGUCGCAAUGCAAAACCAUAACUUCCCCUGCUCCCUCAAAGAGGCUUAGUAUCUCUGUCAUCCGGGAGUAAAGUGCUAUUCUGUCAAAUUUUGACACCCAGUUGAAACCACUGUUAAAAACUCUGAGCUGUAUUCAUUUGUCAGCGAAGAAGUUAAAUACCACAUGACAUACUUUUCGUCUAACCAGCCAUAUGGACAUACAUAACACCUAAUCGAAGAUUCAGAUCAGAAUAAAAGAUUAAUCAGACAAAUUCUAUGCACAUGGCUACCCCAUGAUCAUCCAUCAAAAAGAUAUGACUAAAGCUAAAAGAAAUCGGGUGCCAAGGCUUCACAAUUGGAUGAUAUGGAAAGAAAGAGAAGAGUACUAACAGAAUGGUUAAAAUCAUGUAUUGUUACUUAGAUGGAGCAAUUAAUCUCUGUAUGAGACCUAUUGAAAGAAUUACAAUUACUGUUCUUCUUGAUCAAAUGAUAAUCGCAAGUUAUAA